CCGAAAGGUAUGCUAAUACGGGAUAAUAUAUUUGAGAGGCAUCUCUUGAAUAUCAAAGGUGAGCCAGUACAGGAUGGACCCGCGUCUGAUUAGCUAGUUGGGAAGGUAACGGCUUACCAAGGCGACGAUCAGUAGCCGACCUGAGAGGGUGAUCGGCCACAUUGGAACUGAGACACGGUCCAAACUCCUACGGGAGGCAGCAG
rnacentral:rRNA from 1 species